UCUCUCGUAGCUUAGUGGGCAGUGCAUUGGUGCGUAAAGCCAAAGGUCCCGUGUUCUACUCCCGGCGGGGGUA
rnacentral:tRNA from 1 species